AACGAACGCUGGCGGCAGGCUUAACACAUGCAAGUCGAGCGCCCCGCAAGGGGAGCGGCAGACGGGUGAGUAACGCGUGGGAAUCUACCCAUCUCAACGGAAUAACGCAUGGAAACGUGUGCUAAUACCGUAUACGUCCUUCGGGAGAAAGAUUUAUCGGAGAUGGAUGAGCCCGCGUUGGAUUAGCUAGUUGGUGGGGUGAAGGCCUACCAAGGCGACGAUCCAUAGCUGGUCUGAGAGGAUGAUCAGCCACACUGGGACUGAGACACGGCCCAGAUUCCUACGGGAGGCAGCAGUGGGGAAUAUUGGACAAUGGGCGCAAGCCUGAUCCAGCCAUGCCGCGUGAGUGAUGAAGGCCCUAGGGUUGUAAAGCUCUUUCACCGGUGAAGAUAAUGACGGUAACCGGAGAAGAAGCCCCGGCUAACUUCGUGCCAGCCGCCGCGGUAAGAC
rnacentral:rRNA from 1 species